ACGCUCGACACCUACGGGAGUCAGCAGUGGGGAAUAUUGCACAAUGGGGGAAACCCUGAUGCAGCGACGCCGCGUGGAGGAAGAAGGUCUUCGGAUUGUAAACUCCUGUUGUUGGGGAAAAAGAGGAUGGUACCCAACAAGGAAGUGACGGCUAACUACGUGCCGGCAGCCGCGGUAAUCUGAGCGGGCUGGCAAGGC
rnacentral:rRNA from 1 species